rnacentral:rRNA from 1 species
AUACGUAGGGGGCGAGCGUUGUCCGGAAUGAUUGGGCGUAAAGGGCGCGUAGGCGGCCCGGUAAGUCUGGAGUGAAAGUCCUGUUUUUAAGAUGGGAAUUGCUUUGGAUACUGUCGGGCUUGAGUGCAGGAGAGGUAAGUGGAAUUCCCAGUGUAGCGGUGAAAUGCGUAGAGAUUGGGAGGAACACCAGUGGCGAAGGUGACUUACUGGACUGUAACUGACGCUGAGGCGCGAAAGUGUGGGGAGCAAACAGGAUUAGAUACCCUGGUAGUCCACACUGUAAACGAUGAAUGCUAGGUGUAGGGGGUAUCGACCCCUUCUGUGCCGCAGUCAACACAAUAAGCAUUCCGCCUGGGGAGUACGGCCGCAAGGUUGAAACUCAAAUGAAUUGACGGGG